rnacentral:rRNA from 1 species
GUGGGGAAUAUUGCACAAUGGGCGCAAGCCUGAUGCAGCAACGCCGCGUGAGGGACGACGGCCUUCGGGUUGUAAACCUCUUUUAGCAGGGAAGAAGCGAAAGUGACGGUACCUGCAGAAAAAGCACCGGCUAACUACGUGCCAGCAGCCGCGGUAAUACGUAGGGUGCAAGCGUUGUCCGGAAUUAUUGGGCGUAAAGAGCUCGUAGGCGGUUUGUCGCGUCUGCGGUGAAAACCCGAGGCUCAACCUCGGGCCUGCAGUGGGUACGGGCAGACUAGAGUGCGGUAGGGGAGAUUGGAAUUCCUGGUGUAGCGGUGGAAUGCGCAGAUAUCAGGAGGAACACCGAUGGCGAAGGCAGAUCUCUGGGCCGUAACUGACGCUGAGGAGCGAAAGCGUGGGGAGCGAACAGGAUUAGAAACCCCGGUAGUCC